rnacentral:rRNA from 1 species
CCUACGNGAGGCAGCAGUGGGGAAUAUUGGACAAUGGGCGAAAGCCUGAUCCAGCGACGCCGCGUGGGUGANUAAGGCUUUCGGGUUGUAAAGCCCUUUAAGCCGGGACGAAAAAAUCGGCGAUAACAUCGCCGGUCUUGACGGUACCGGAAGAAUAAGCACCGGCUAACUCUGUGCCAGCAGCCGCGGUAAU